rnacentral:rRNA from 1 species
UACGUAGGGGGGCAAGCGUUGUCCGGAAUCAUUGGGCGUAAAGCGCGUGUAGGCGGCUGGCUAAGUCCGCUCUGAAAGCCCGGGGCUCAACCCCGGGAGGCGGGUGGAUACUGGUCAGCUCGAGUCCGGAAGAGGAGUGUGGAAUUCCUGGUGUAGCGGUGAAAUGCGCAGAUAUCAGGAGGAACACCGGUGGCGAAGGCGGAUCUCUGGGCCUUACCUGACGCUGAGGCGCGAAAGCUAGGGGAGCGAACAGG